UGGUGGCCCAACCGGAGCAGCUGCUGCCCGCCGACCCGCUGCUGCCGGAACGUCGCCACGUACGGCUGCAGGCUGUCGUCCAGACCUGGAAACAAAUGUUCACACCCAGGAAGUGUUCACACCCAGGAAGUGUUCACACCCAGGAAGUGUUCAGACACAGGAAGUGUUCACACCCAGGAAGUGUUCACACCCAGGAAGUGUUCACCCAGCAGGGGGCGCUGCGGGGAGGUAUUGACGCCCCGCUCUGGCUCCGAGAGCAAACAGCUGCUGAGUCAAUAUUAACUCUUCCUCCCUUCGACCCGACAACAUCAGAACCUACGCCUCGCUCUGAAGCAGAGAGUCUGCUGAACCAGAACCGCCUGAAAACCCACCAGGCUCAUCAGAACUUCAUCAGAACUUCCUUGUAUUGGCUCCAGACAUGGAAACUACGGAGUGCUGAUCCUGACGAAAAUGGCAGAAAAAUCAAUAAAUGGAUCAAACAGUAACUAAUGAUCUAAUUCUCUCUUUAUUUCCUGAUCCAAAGUAAACAGAACCAGAACAUUCCCUCUAGGGCUGAAACGAUUCCUCGAGUGAUUCGAGUUCCUCGAUUAUAAAAAUUUGUUGAGGAAAAUUUAUCUGCCUCGAAGCUUCGUUAAUUUAUGUUUUAUUAUUUAGCGCGCCGUGUUCCGGCCGGGUCGGUGCUUGCGUUGCGCGGCGCUCUGACGUCCGCCUGAGUUGUUGAUGAAAGCUAAGUGUUAGCGGCAUAGCGUUUGUCGCUUUUAUGGACCAAUAAACAUCCUUAAAACGCUGCCUGGAACCAACUGGGAACCAACUGGUCGGGUCGUUAGGCGGGUCAGCAGAUGGUUGAUGAAGGCUCCGGCAGCAGGGAGGAAGACUCCUGCUGGGAAUCUGAAUCGGGUCAAGAACCGGAUCAGAACCGUUUAUUUACUUUCAUUGAAGUUUGAUUUUAAUGAUUUUAUUCAAAGAUGAAAACAGAAUCAGUUUGUAGAAAAGUUUUUAUUAAGAUCCUGAGGAUGCAGAACAGAACCACAGAACUGACCCGUAUGGAUAAGGGAGGUUCUGCUCAUUCUAAAGGAAACAUCCGUCUGGUUCUGACCCGGCCCGGUUCCAGCAGAACCAGCUGGGACGGGUCGGUGGCUCAGCAGGAAACAGGAUUUCCUGCUGAGCUCCAUGAAUCCGGAGAGCUGGACAAACAGGAACCGACCCGGUUUGUCUGGGUCAGAACCAGAACACCUGAGGUUCUGCUGUCUGACCCGUCUCCUGGAGCAACCGGGUCGUUCAGAACCUCUUCAUCUGUGAUGAGGAACACCAGCUGUUGAGCGUGGCAGGUUCUGACGGGUUCUGGACCCCUCCUCCUCGCUAGCAGUACCAGGAACCAACCGGGUCGCUGGAACCGCUCAGCUGGGGCGUUCUGCACCUGCCAGGAACCCAAGGAAUGUCAACCCGUCUCAACAUGUCGGCGUCGCUCCGACGCCUCCGGGACAGAUCCGUCCGCCCAGCUGCUCCGUUCUACAGAACCGGUACCAGGUUCUGGAGCGGUCCAACAGAGGCAUCUCUCUGGUUACGUUGUUU